rnacentral:rRNA from 1 species
UACGUAGGGCGCAAGCGUUAUCCGGAAUUAUUGGGCGUAAAGAGCUCGUAGGCGGUUUGUCGCGUCUGCCGUGAAAGUCCGGGGCUCAACUCCGGAUCUGCGGUGGGUACGGGCAGACUAGAGUGAUGUAGGGGGAGACUGGAAUUCCUGGGUGUAGCGGUGAAAAUGCGCAGAUAUCAGGAGGAACACCGAUGGCGAAGGCAGGUCUCUGGGCAUUAACUGACGCUGAGGAGCGAAAGCAUGGGGAGCGAACAGG